AGAGUUUGAUCCUGGCUCAGAACGAACGCUGGCGGCAGGCCUAACACAUGCAAGUCGAGCGAGGACUUCGGUCCUAGCGGCGGACGGGUGAGUAACGCGUGGGAACGUGCCCUUUGCUACGGAAUAGCCCUGGGAAACUGGGAGUAAUACCGUAUGUGCCCUUCGGGGGAAAGAUUUAUCGGCAAAGGAUCGGCCCGCGUUGGAUUAGGUAGUUGGUGGGGUAAUGGCCUACCAAGCCGACGAUCCAUAGCUGGUUUGAGAGGAUGAUCAGCCACACUGGGACUGAAACACGGCCCAGACUCCUACGGGAGGCAGCAGUGGGGAAUCUUAGACAAUGGGGGAAACCCUGAUCUAGCCAUGCCGCGUGAGCGAUGAAGGCCUUAGGGUUGUAAAGCUCUUUCAGUGGGGAAGAUAAUGACGGUACCCACAGAAGAAGCCCCGGCUAACUCCGUGCCAGCAGCCGCGGUAAUACGGAGGGGGCUAGCGUUGUUCGGAAUUACUGGGCGUAAAGCGCACGUAGGCGGACUGGAAAGUCAGAGGUGAAAUCCCAGGGCUCAACCUUGGAACUGCCUUUAAAACUCCCAGUCUUGAGGUCGAGAGAGGUGAGUGGAAUUCCGAGUGUAGAGGUGAAAUUCGUAGAUAUUCGGAGGAACACCAGUGGCGAAGGCGGCUCACUGGCUCGAUACUGACGCUGAGACGCGAAAGCGUGGGUAGCAAACAGGAUUAGAUACCCUGGUAGUC
rnacentral:rRNA from 1 species